GACAUUGGGGCUCGGCGGCUGAAGGGGGAGGCAGCGCAGCGGAGCCUGCAGAGAGCGAGAGCUUCGCCCGCACCCGCCGCCACCGAACCACCGCCACCCCGGCACCGCCGCCAUGGUGCUCCGCACCGUCGUCACGCACGCGAAGAAGCACCCGGCCUUGAUUCCUCUGUUUGUGAUCAUUGGAUGUGGAGGUGUUGGUGCAAGCCUGUAUCUUAUGCGUUUGGCGAUGUUCAACCCUGAUGUUAGCUGGGACAAGAAAAAUAACCCAGAACCUUGGAACAAAAUGGCUCCCAAUGACCAUUGUUCUCGAUUAAUAUGGACUACAGUAGACUGAAAAAGGAUCGUCCUGACUUCUAAAAACACAACAAUGUCUGUAAGCUGGACAGAAAGGUCUUCCGGAAGCUGUUCGCACAAGUGUCAUGUUUAAUCAUCCAGGAAAUAAUUAAAUUUGCUUCACACAGCACCAGGUCCCUGGCAAUUGUUUGCUUUUGUCAAUCCGUGGCAGAGGGGAAUAAGGUCAGGAGUUGACUAAUGGCCCAGACUACAUCAGCUGAGUACUUAUAAGUGAUCUAGACUGCCAAGCAGUGUUUACAAAGUAUAAAAAAGGUGACUCAAACCUUUUCUGUUUCCCAUAUCAAAGCAAAUCUUUCACAGCUGACCUGGUAGCUGGAGCAGGGUUGAGUUUUUACAAAUUCUACAAUUUAUUAACCUGUGCUUGGGCUGAUAAUGCAUAGAGAACCAUGGGCAAAGUUAAAAUGAGAUCCUCAAAUUUAGAGCGUUUUGCCAAAUAACUGUUUUGACCACAGAGCACAGUAUGCAGUGGUCGGGCAGUAGAUGUGAUUUAUGUUGUACCUAGCAGUAGACCUCCUAAUCCUGAAGUGUAGGUGCUUGCCCCAGCAGCUGGAUGAGUCACGUAGCUGCAUUUACUGCCUCAUGGAGCUUCAACAGUCUGCUUCAGGAACAGUGGAGCACUUCUGAAUGAAGCUUAAUAUUCCAUUAUCUGACUGUGGGCACAUCAAAUGCAAAAUAAACAGUCCAGUAGUGCAUCUGAAAUUCUAUUUGGAUGUGUUUUACUGUUUCUCAGUCAUUGUAGAGGACUUUUAUGUGAAAGAAGAAUGAGCUUUUGGAGACUGUAGAAAGAGAGAUUUGUUACAGCCAAAGCAAGGAGAAUGGAGAGACAGAAACAAGCAGCCUACUCACUCAGGCAUAGGAAAGCAGAGGAUGUAAAAUGUGCAGUAGAAGUAUAAUGAAUUUCUCCAUUACAAAUUAUUGUCACAGGGAAAUGUUCUUGUACAUGAAUUCUGACAUAGAAAAUUGGAUGGAUUUUUUUGUUUGUAUGUUGCAUUUAUUGAAAAUGAGAAAAGCUCAGUGACAGCAGUAUAUGAAUGUGUAUAGAUAUAUUGCUUAAGGUCUCCAUUUUUCUUGUCUCCAGUCUUUAUUCUCUCAUCUUCUCCUCAGCUAGAUAGCCAGGGUUUCUGCUUACUACCCUGAGAAAUCCACUUCACUCAUGUAUCUUCCUCUUGUCAUGAGCUUUCUGUGAGGCUAUGCUAUUUCUGGACAUGCUGGAAUCACUGUCUACUUCUGCAUUAAAAAGAAAUAGCACCUUUUCCCAUCAACAUCUCAUUACAGCUGUGUCACAGAUUUCUGAGUAAGCAGAAAAGUUAAGUGAUCCAAGUAAAAUUUUUUAGAAUUUUCAGUAGAAAACUCACUUGAGUCCAGAAUAUUUACCAACAAAUUGAUGAUCUGAUGGAAACCUGAUCUCUCUGAAAAAGAAGAGAUCUUAUAUUGUGGGCAGAAAAAUAUCACUGUAUAUUAAAUAGAUAAAACAUUGUCACCUCUUUCAAGAUUGUGCAUGUUUUUUGGUAGCAUAAAACCAAAUAAAUUCAGUGCCAUAUACAGAAAGAAUAUAGUAAAUAUUCAACUUAAAAAUGUAAUGGUAAAGGACACAAAGGUGUUUGUAUUCUGUAUUGUUUUGGUUUCUACUGAAAGAUUGUUAAUACCAAGUAGAAUUCUUUGUAGAUCCAGAAGGGAAGCAUAUGGUAUUCCUUGUCUCAAACCAGAUUUUGUAUUAUUGUAUGAGGUACCUGUUGAAAUUAAAAGGACAUUUCCCCAUCAGCUACAGCAGGCUUUGUAUUAAGAGCCUGUUGACUAUUUUAGGUUCCAUGAGGAAGGAAGGAAUGUCCAUGAUGACAUUUUCAUAUGUCACUGUCAAAUGAAUUUUUUGAUUUUUUGGGGUUUUUUUGAUUGUUUUUCAAUGAGAUCAGCAUUUCCCUUUAGGACUGGAUUUUCAGUAGGGUUUGGUGGUGAUACAGUCAAUUUUCUUCAUAGUAGCUAGUAUGAAGCUGUGUGUUGGAUCUGUGCUGGAAACUAUGUUGGUAAGGAUGUUUUAGCUGUGGCUGAGCAGAGUUUGCUCAGUCAAGGCCUUUCCUGCUCCUCGUCUCACCAGCAAGCUGAGGCUGCACAAGGAAUUGGGAGGGGACAGAGCUGGGACAUCUGAUCUGAACUGACCAAAGGGGUAUUUGACACCAUUUGGCAUCAUACACAGCAUGUAAGGCUUGGGAAGAAGAAGAAAGAGUGGGAUGUUCAGAAUGAUAGUGUUUAUCUUCCCAAGUAAUAACCAUCCAGGUGUGCUGGAGCCCUGUUCUUGUGGCAUGGUUGAAUACCUACCUGCCCAAGGAAGCAGUGAAUUAAUUCCUCCUUUGUGACUUCUCUUCUACCUAUUACACUGUCUGUAUCUCAACCUAUGAGUCUUUUUGUUUUUACUCUUCUGAUUCUCUCUCCCGUCCCACCAAGGGAAAAUGAGAGAGAUAUGGAACUUGGUUGCUGGCUGGGGUUAAACCCAUGAUAGGUAGAGAUUGUUCAUAAAAGCUGCUUUACAAAUCCAAGAUGUCAGAGAGGACUCUUAGAGCUACUUCAUAUAUUUACUAUUUUGUACAGGCACACAAAUACAUUUAACAUUAGCAAGUUCCGUUGUCAUGCAAUUUUUUGACUCAGUGACUUUAAUUCUGUGGAAUGCAUACUAUUUUGCAUUUUAUCUCUGUCCCCUAAAUCAAAUAAACCUUGCAUUUUUUAAGCAAUCUUGACUAUAUUAAUUUUCUUUGGACUAAUUAAUGCAUGCAACUUCCAACAGAGAAGAAAAAUUAACUUGUGAUUUCUAGUGAGAGGUGUAUUUGGAUGUUCUGGCUGAUGCUGUCAAUUAAAGGACCACACAGCUUGCUUUGAAGUACCCCUCAGCCUUAAGGAAAUUUGUUCAGCAAAGUCCUGUGCCUCACAGCAGUGUGACUUUGGGCAAACAAGCCUGUUUUUCACACUAGUAGCAGUCCAGCCAUGACCACAGCACAUGGCAUCUGCUCAAGCCAGCAGAGGUACUCGCACUGCUGUAAGGCCAUGGCUGCUGGUGCCCAGGCUUUCUGAGAGCCAUCUCAAUUGCUGCAGUGCAGCACUGCCCUCUGUCUUGUGAAUGUAUGUGCUCAGGAAUAUAUUUUAUGAUUUUAAAGGGCAAGACUGAAGGUCUUAGACCAUUGCAUGAAAAAAGAACCACGUGAAUUCUGUGUUUUCAUGCUUGCAAACUACAAAAUAUAAAGAGGACAAAGAACAUUCAUAACAAGUAAGUGUUUUUUUUUUCUUUUUUUUUUUGUUUACAGCUGUGAGUGUAAGUACUUUUUACCAAAAUGUGCACAUAUAUGCACACAGGGCAUGUUUGAUAUAUAGAUAUAGUACACACACAUUAAAUAUUUUUUAAUAUUUGCCCUUCAGGUGAUGUGUUCCACAUUAAUUAAUAUAGUGACAUUCACGUAGCCACUACAGAGCUUACAUAGCUUGUGAUAAUUAAAUGGCAUAUGAUCUUCUCUACUUCAUGAGCAUGGUGUGUCCUUUUGCAGCUGAAUCUCUACAGGGUCAUCUGUCCUUAAAGGAGAGUCCCUCAUGUUGGGGAAGCAGAAGGCAGAUUUCUCAGCUGAGCUCUGUGUUGCCGGGGCUGGAAGUGGUCCACCAAGUGCUGUGCCAGCCCUUCAAGCCCUUCCAGCUGCACCUACAUCUGUGCAUCAUUACAGCAGCAGAGGCUACUGAACUCACCCAGUGGCUGUUUGUGAGCAGCUCUCUUGCCACUUCAUUGCCUGGAAAGGAA
rnacentral:lncRNA from 1 species